rnacentral:lncRNA from 1 species
GGAGAUCAGUGCACUUGCAUAUUUACUCUCCUGUUCCAUCCCUCUCUAUUUCACUCUCUAAUUAUUUCCUGUCAUUUAACUAAUUAGGUAAUUAUGCUAUUCAGUUAACAUUAAGUAGACAGCUAUUCUAUACUAGACAUAACAUUAGAGCAAGUUCCUUAGAAGCUCAUGGUUCUUGGGAAGAAAUAACUGGUUGUCAUCUGAUAACAUUUUAGAAAUGAUUUUCUAUGCUCUGUGUAGAGCAUUACAGGACCAUUUGCAUACAUGAUGGAUUUUUCUUUUCUGAGAAACAAUAUCAUCCUGGUGUUGCCAGUGCUAAAG